ensembl:snRNA U6 U6 spliceosomal RNA
AUACUAACUUCGUCAGCACACAUAGUAAAAUCAGAAUGAUACACAGAAGAUUAGCAUGAGCCCUGCACAAAGAUGACAAGCAAAGUAAUAAAAGUAUUU